rnacentral:miRNA from 1 species
ACUAUGCAAUUGUGAACAAAC